UACAGAGGGUGCGAGCGUUGUUCGGAAUUAUUGGGCGUAAAGGGAGUGUAGGCUGUUUGGAAAGUCUUCUGUGAAAUCUACGGGCUCACCCCGUAAAGUGCAGAGGAAACUUCCAGGCUUGAGUGUCGGAGAGGGAUGUAGAAUUCCAGGUGUAGCGGUGAAAUGCGUAGAUAUCUGGAGGAAUACCGGUGGCGAAGGCGGCAUCCUGGACCAUUACUGACGCUGAGGCGCGAAAGCUAGGGGAGCAAACGGG
rnacentral:rRNA from 1 species